CGUUGGAUGGCUGAAGUGUAGGCGGUUGAUUGUAAAUCUUCUAAUAGAAAUAGUUCUUCCUAUGA
rnacentral:tRNA from 1 species